CAGGAAGGCGCUGUGGGCUGUGCUCCACUGUGGUGCCGGGGUCCAGACCGUGCCUUUCAGGCCUCAGGCUGCUGGAGCCCAGCUGACCCACCUGGCCGGGGCAGCUGGUCCGGAAGAUCCCAUGCAGCACGUUCAAGGGCAGAAAGGAAGGCUGCAGAGGCAGGAACCUCGAGCAUGUCGGGACUUGGAGGGCCAGGACCGACUGUGCUGUGUAUGGAGAAAAAUCUUUGCAGAAAGACUCCUUUGGGCUCACAGCGCCCGAAACUCGGCCCAGCCUGGCCCUUGGCUUUGGCGGCAGAGUCAGAGCUGAAGGGCAGGACUCGCUCCCAGAGCUGAGUAAGCAGCCGGGGCCCACAGGGUCUCCACAAGCUCCCCAAGGCCACGCGAGUGGGGACAGAGCCAGGACUGAGUCAGUCCGUCUCCAAAGCGGGGCUCUGCCGGCACCCCCUGCACGAACACCAACCAGCCAGGAGUGAGUUCACAUUUGCAGGCCAUGGCCCUGCUGU